rnacentral:rRNA from 1 species
GUAGGUGGCAAGCGUUGUCCGGAAUUAUUGGCGUAAAGCGCGCGCAGGCGGUUCUUUAAGUCUGAUGUGAAAGCCCACGGGCUCAACCGUGGAGGGUCAUUGGAAACUGGAGAACUUGAGUACAGAAGAGGAAAGCGGAAUUCCACGUGUAGCGGUGAAAUGCGUAGAGAUGUGGAGGAACACCAGUGGCGAAGGCGGCUUUCUGGUCUGUAACUGACGCUGAGGCGCGAAAGCGUGGGGAGCAAACAGGAUUAGAUACCCUGGUAGUCCACGCCGUAAACGAUGAGUGCUAAGUGUUAGGGGGUUUCCGCCCCUUAGUGCUGCAGCUAACGCAUUAAGCACUCCGCCUGGGGAGUACGGCCGCAAAGGCUG